CUUUCUGCUGGACAGGUAAACCGCUUUAACAAAGUAAGCCAAGUGUCUGUAACAGAAGUGUUUCUUGUCAAAUGGACCUGCUGUAGCGUGUUGUAGCGCCAUCGCUAAACUGUUGACCUCGGGUCCUGGACUAUGUCACUUUAUCCUAGUUGUAGAAGUCCUGCAAACAUUGUGUUUGCUGGUAGUCUGUUGGCAUCUACAGUAGCACCAAUGCUUUUUACUUUCACCUUGACUGGGCCCCAUUUGUAAUGAUCUGAAGUAUUUAUCUGCAUUAUAUCUGAAUUUAAUUGAAAUGAUACGAGCGAGCAGGAGCGUCUGUUUGUGGGCGGGGCUUGCUGGAGGAGAGAGGGAGGGGAGAGGAGGAGCUGAGGGGAAAACUGGUUGGGAGGGGUAGAGUUUACAUUCAAGAUUUCUCCUAAAAACUGGCACUUCCUCAGAUCCUGACUACCCCACCUUUAAG